rnacentral:rRNA from 1 species
GCAUGUGCGCGAGUCAUUGGGACUCUGUUAAACCUAAAGGCGCAAUGAAAGUAAAGGUCCGCCUCGCGCGGACCGAGGGAGGAUGGGUCCGUCCCCGGACGGGCCCCGCACUCCCGGGGCGUCUCGUUCUCAUCGCGAGAAGAGGCGCACCCAGAGCGUACACGCUGGGACCCGAAAGAUGGUGAACUAUGCCUGGUCAGGACGAAGUCAGGGGAAACCCUGAUGGAGGUCCGUAGCGAUUCUGACGUGCAAAUCGAUCGUCGGAACUGGGUAUAGG